AUUGUAUUUAGGAUGUCUAAUAAAAUUAGAAUGAUACAGAUUAGCAUGACCCAUGCACAAGGAUGACAUAUAAAUCGAGAAAUGGUCAGAUUAAGAUU